rnacentral:rRNA from 1 species
GGGUGGCACAGACCAGGGGGUAGCGACUGUUUACCAAAAACACAGGUGCAUGCGAAGGCGAAAGCCGCUGUAUAUGCACUGACGCCUGCCCGGUGCCGGAAGGUUAAGAGGAUCCGUCAACUCUUCGGAGCGAAGCGGUGAAUUCAAGCCCCGGUAAACGGCGGUGGUAACUAUAACCAUCCUAAGGUAGCGAAAUUCCUUGUCGGGUAAGUUCCGACCUGCACGAAUGGCGUAACGACUUCCCCACUGUCUCGACCAGGAGCUCGGCGAAAUUGCAGUACGAGUAAAGAUGCUCGUUAAGCGCAGAAGGACGAAAAGACCCCGGGACCUUUACUAUACCUUGGUAUUGGCGUUAGGCGCGGAUUGUGUAGCAUAGGCGGGAGGCUUCGAAGCGGGUGCGCCAGCAUUCGUGGAGCCGCAAGGUGAAAUACCGCUCUGUUCUCGUUUGACGUCUAACCUCGACAAGUCAUCCUUGUCAGGGACAGUGCCUGGCGGGUAGUUCAACUGGGGCGGUUGCCUCCCAAAGAGUAACGGAGGCGCUCAAAGGUCCGCUCAGCCCGGUUGGCAAUCGGGUGUCGAGUGUAAUCGCACAAGCGGGCUUGACUGCGAGGACGACGGUCCGAGCAGGGACGAAAGUCGGAGAUAGUGAUCCGGUGCCGGCGCACGGGCGCGGCAUCGCUCAACGGAUAAAAGGUACCCCGGGGAUAACAGGCUGAUCAUUCCCAAGAGUCCAUAUCGACGGGAUGGUUUGGCACCUCGAUGUCGGCUCGUCGCAUCCUGGGGCUGGAGCAGGUCCCAAGGGUUCGGCUGUUCGCCGAUUAAAGCGGCACGCGAGCUGGGUUCAGAACGUCGUGAGACAGUUUGGUCUCUAUCCUCUGCGCUCGUUGGAAUCCUGAGGAGGCCUGCCCAUAGUACGAGAGGACCUGGGUGGACGAACCUCUGGUAUGCCGGUUGUCACGCCAGUGGCACGGCCGGUUGGCUACGUUCGGAAGGGAUAACCGCUGAAAGCAUCUAAGCGGGAAGCCUGCUCCAAGAUAAGCAUUCCGUGGAACCUUCGAGUUCCUGUAGUCCCCAUGCAGAACACGUGGUCGAUAGGCCGGACGUGGAAGCCCCGCGAGGGGUGGAGCCGACCGGUACUAACGGACGAAAGGCAACACUAA